ensembl:snoRNA
CAGAUACAGUGAUGAUAACAUAGUUCAGCAGAUUAUCUCAUGAUGAGCCAUGUUCUGUCUUUCGCUCCUAUCUGAUGUAUCUA